rnacentral:rRNA from 1 species
GGAAUAUUGCACAAUGGGGGAAACCCUGAUGCAGCCAUGCCGCGUGUGUGAAGAAGGCCUUCGGGUUGUAAAGCACUUUCAGUAGGGAGGAAAGGGUGAGUCUUAAUACGGCUCAUCUGUGACGUUACCUACAGAAGAAGGACCGGCUAACUCCGUGCCAGCAGCCGCGGUAAUACGGAGGGUCCGAGCGUUAAUCGGAAUUACUGGGCGUAAAGCGUGCGCAGGCGGUUUGUUAAGCGAGAUGUGAAAGCCCUGGGCUCAACCUAGGAAUAGCAUUUCGAACUGGCGAACUAGAGUCUUGUAGAGGGGGGUAGAAUUCCAGGUGUAGCGGUGAAAUGCGUAGAGAUCUGGAGGAAUACCGGUGGCGAAGGCGGCCCCCUGGACAAAGACUGACGCUCAUGCACGAAAGCGUGGGGAGCAAACAGGAUUAGAUACCCGAG